UACGGGGGGGCAAGCGUUGUUCGGAAUUACUGGGCGUAAAGGGCUCGUAGGCGGCCAACUAAGUCGGACGUGAAAUCCCUCGGCUCAACCGGGGAACUGCGUCCGAUACUGGAUGGCUUGAGUUCGGGAGAGGGAUGCGGAAUUCCAGGUGUAGCGGUGAAAUGCGUAGAUAUCUGGAGGAACACCGGUGGCGAAGGCGGCAUCCUGGACCGACACUGACGCUGAGGAGCGAAAGCCAGGGGAGCAAAGCGGGA
rnacentral:rRNA from 1 species